CUCAUACCCACAACUCAAAAGCCAAAAUAAAAAAAAAAAUUAAACCCAGAAAUCAGAUAACAAGAUCAAGCAACAUUAAGAAAACAAAAAUCAAACCCAAAAAUCUAAAACACAACAACCUCAAGAAUUUGUUCUCAAAUUUUGUAAACAUAUUUAGUCAACCUACAACCUAAUCUUGUUACUAAUUUAUGCAAUCAACCUAAUCUCCUUUUACAAAUCACCCUAACCACGCCACACUCCCGUUUUCCUCAAAACCCAGAACCUUCCAAGUUCCAACAUAGACCCAAAAAAUUUCUGGAUUAUGAUUUUUUUGGGGUUUGAGGUUGAAGAAAGGUGGAAGGGGAACACAAUGAAAGUACAAUAUUG
rnacentral:lncRNA from 1 species